rnacentral:lncRNA from 10 species
CAGUAUUUGGACACUGGCCCUCUAAAGAGAGUGCACACGGUGUUGGGCAGAGAAGCAGCCACGUCCAAAGAGGAGAGGCCACUACAAAGAACAAAGAAUAAACAACUCACCAUGGGCAGUCCCAUCGGAUUUCCUCGUCCUUGUCCCAAACUCAACACCGAAAGAAUAAGCACAGAGCAAGAGAGUGUGAGAAAGUAAACCACCCUCCUUGCUCACCUCCCCAUCUCCCUCGCUUAGCUUUCUGGGCAGCCUUGAGGGGAGAUUUGAAACAAAUGACAUUGAAGUGUUUUUUGUUUUUUUUUUGAGACGGAGUCUCUCUCUGUCGCCCAGGCUGGAGGCAGCGGUGCGAUCUCGGCUCACUGCAACCUCUGCCUCCUGGGUUCAAGCGAUUCUCCUGCCUCAGGCUCCCGAGUAGCUGGGAUUACAGGUGCACACCACCACGCCCGGCUAAUUUUUGUAUUUUUAGUAGAGACGGGGUUUCACAGUGUUGGUCAGGCUGGUCUCGAGCUCCCGACCUCAGAUGAUCCACCCGCCUCAGUCUCUCAAAGUGCUGGAAUGACAGGCAUGAGCCACCGCGCCUGGCCCAAACUCUGUAAAAUAUUUUAAGAGAUUUAUUCUGAGCCAAACACGAAUGACCAUGGCCCAUGACGCAGCCCCCAGGAGACCCUGAGAACAUGUGCCUGUCACGCGCUUCCAUGUGAAGAGACCUCCUAACAGGCUUUGCGGGAAGGCUGAGACAUGUCUGGCUCCAGUAAAUUAACGACCUCAUCUCCACUGACUUAUUUGUCUGAAACAUGUUCAAAAAGCAAAGCAAAUAGAAAAGAGGAGAAGUCUUGGAGGAAGAAGGAAAGCAGACACAGGAAAUUAGGAUAAAUGUUUAAAGAUAAUGCCACUGAGGAAGAGGCGGGCUAAAGCUUGCUCCGUGCCAAGCAAUCUGGGUAGCAGACUGGGAUUGGAUCCCAGUAUUGUAUAAAGAAGAAGCAUUAAAAGCUUGCCACCAAUGCCAGCGAAGUUUGUGCCAUGAUUUCUGAUUUUCAUCUUUUCCAUCUAAUUGAUCUUUAGGUCCCCAAUCCACAAUGUCUCCAGUUAACAUAGAUUGUUUUCUAGCCAGUGGACCAAGACACUGGGUCCAUAGAUGGGGGUAGGAAAUACUGAAUGGAACCCAUUCCGUAUAAUCAGCACAAUUAGGGUGAUUGGGCCAGGAAUGGUUGGUUAGCACACCAGUUACGUUAAUAGAACCAAGACUUAACAGGUGCAUGACUUUUUCAUAGUGACUCAACCAUGUUUGAGCUUGAAUUUAAGACAGCUAUGGCUGAGCGAUGUCUUUGUGGUGAUACACAAAGGAAGUCCUUCCAGUGGAGCAGUAUAAUUAAUGACAUUAUUCUGAGAGUCUAACUGUUCUAUGUCAGGGGGAGUCAGGAGUCCUGGAGCCCACUCUCCCUGAUCAUGAUAAAGCUCAGGAGGAGUGUCACUCCAAAGAAUAGGUCAUACUACUGGGGGAUUGGGAACAUAUGCCCAAUAUGUUUUUGCCUCUGCACAGGGAAAACAUAUCACAUUGGACAUUAUGGCUAACAUGGCCAAGAACAUGGAAUCAGGGGUUCUGGCCUGUCCCUGAUGCUACAGUAGUUUCUCAGCUUCCUGCAUGGUUUUCUUGAGUUGUCCCCAGCUUAUGGGGGUUGAUGUCAUUGGGCUCUGGUCGGACUUCUCUCUGUCUUUGCACUCAGGCUCAGCUGGCUCACGGCUCGUACCGGAGGGACCGGGCCCAUGGUUGGCCACCCUGGGCUCCUCAAGUCUCCCGUUCCAUGGUCGCACACACCUUGAGGGCACCCACACGGC